rnacentral:antisense_RNA from 1 species
UAAAUACACUGAUCCUACAUUUGGAAUAUGGAGAGAGGGACAAAAGAUAUUGGUUUCAAGGCAGCCAAAGCCAAAAUACCAGGACUCUACUUAAUGGUUUCACUGUGAGGAAACCAACCGUACAGAAAAAACUCUCCCUUAAACUGAUAUCAAGCCAUUGUCAAGCGCAUUGUUUUAUCUCUUUAAUGUCUCAUGAAACCAUCAACUGCUCUCCAAAUUCAAGAAAACCGUCACCUGUCUGGAAUACUUAAAUGACCUUUUAAUAAUCCACGUGUUUUUCUAACAUGUCCUCCUGCUAAUCUCUACAUUUGAGCCAAUGUCAUCUUGGCAAAAUGCCAGAUUGCUGAUGUCACUACUGCUCAGACCCAUCACAGCAUCUCUACUUAAACUCUCAAACAACUUUGAAAGACUCUUAUAAGGAAAAUCAAAACCCUUAGGCCCACAUGUCCCCUCCCUCACACUCAAUAAUAUUCUACACAAA